rnacentral:tRNA from 1 species
UUAUGUGGCUCAGUGGUAGAGUGCUCACCUAGCAUGUGCGAGGCCCUGGGUUCGAUCCUUAGCACCACAUAAA